rnacentral:rRNA from 1 species
AGUAAACGUAANGGGGAAAAAAAUUGAUAUUACCUUACUAUAAGUGUGUCUAAAUAAACUGGUGCCAGAAAACUCGGUAAACACCAGAAAACGACGAAACGUUAGUCGUCUUAAACAGGCGUAAAGGGUAAGUAGGCUGCUUUAAAUUCUAUUUUUAAAUAAGCUAAUUAUAAUAAUCCGCUUUCAAAGCUGAUUGCCUCCUUCUAUUUUCUUUUUUUUUUUAAUAAAAAAAAGAAAAAAAGACUUAAUAAGCAGGAUAUCCAGCUUCUUAGGAGAGGCUAGACUACAAAAUUUCAGACCUUAAAUUAUAAUUAAGGCUAACUUACAAUGAAAAUAAGGAAUUAUAAAAAUUUAAAAAAUAGAAACACUUAAAGCUAGAAUCAUAAUUGAGAUAAACCAAAUAAUACUUAUGUGUAAGGGCGAUAUCUGAAAAUACUAAGUAGAAUACUAACAGUGAAAACUUUUUAUCUGGUAAUGAUUGACGCUGAGGUACGAAAGUGAGAACAGGGAAUAGGAUUAGAUACCCAGUUACCUCUCACCGUCAACGAUGAAUGGUAGUUGUUAGUUUAAUUAAAUUAGUGACGAUGUUAACACGAUAACCAUUCCGCCUUGAGAGUACGGUUGCAAAACUAAACCAAAAAAAUUAGUCGGUCUGG